rnacentral:rRNA from 1 species
CACGUAGGCACCAAGCGUUGUCCGGAUUUAUUGGGCGUAAAGAGCUCGUAGGCGGUUCAGUAAGUCGGGUGUGAAAACUCUGGGCUCAACCCAGAGACGCCACCCGAUACUGCUGUGACUUGAGUACGGUAGGGGAGUGGGGAAUUCCUGGUGUAGCGGUGAAAUGCGUAGAUAUCAGGAGGAACACCAAUGGCGAAGGCAGCUCGCUGGGACGGUAUUGACGCUGAGACGCGAAAGCGUGGGGAGCAAACAGG